rnacentral:rRNA from 1 species
GCAAGUCGAACGGUAAGGUAACUUCUGUUAGCCUAGAGCGGCGGACGGGUUAGGAACACGUGGAUAAUCUACCUCUUAGUUUGGGAUAGCUUGUGUAACCCUCAGGUAAUACCAAAUGAGAUUCAUAAGUCACAUGUCAUAAUGAACAAAACUGCGGUGGAAUAAGAUGAGCUCGCGGCCCAUUAGCUAGUUGGUAGGGUAAAAGCCUACCAAGGCGAUGAUGGGUAGCCGGCCUGAGAGGGUGAAC